CCUGCGAGCUCCAGGUGGGGGAAAACCCCAUCAGCACCUCCCUGGGAAGUGCCCAGGAGGAGGAAUCCCACCCCACAUCGUGUUUUGGGGCUCCCCCCUCCUCUCCCACUGCACUCCCAGCUCCAUGAGCACUCCAAGCCCUCCAUCCCGCCGUUUUUCCGGCUCGUGGAUGCUUCCAAAGGGAUUCUGUUCCUUUGGACAUCAUUUCCCUGCUGGGCGUUGCUCCUGGUGGGCAUCCUUCCCAGUGGGCUUCCCAUCCCUGCGGGCAUCAUUCCCUGGCAAGAUUCCCUACCUUGUGGACAUCAUUCCCUGGCAGGAUUCUCUUCCUUGUGGACAUCAUUCCCUGGUACGCAUCCUUCCCUGGUGGAAUUCCCUUCCUAGUGGGCAUCAUUCCCGGUGGGCAUCUUUCCUGGAUUCUCUUCCCGCUUCCCUGCGCUCACCGACACGCCGCCCAGGAACGGGAUCUCCCCGAUGACGAACACGGAGGUGUAGAGGUUGGUGAGCGUGGUCAGCACGAUCCCGAAGCCGAU